GACGAACGCUGGCGGCGUGCCUAAUACAUGCAAGUCGAGCGAAGUUUUUCUGGUGCUUGCACUAGAAAAACUUAGCGGCGAACGGGUGAGUAACACGUAAAGAACCUGCCUCAUAGACUGGGACAACUAUUGGAAACGAUAGCUAAUACCGGAUAACAGUAUUUCUCGCAUGAGAGAUAUUUAAAAGUUGGUUAUGCUAACACUAUGAGAUGGCUUUGCGGUGCAUUAGCUAGUUGGUGGGGUAAAGGCCCACCAAGGCGACGAUGCAUAGCCGACCUGAGAGGGUGAUCGGCCACACUGGGACUGAGACACGGCCCAGACUCCUACGGGAGGCAGCAGUAGGGAAUCUUCCACAAUGGGCGAAAGCCUGACGGAGCAACGCCGCGUGAAUGAAGAAGGAUUUCGGUUCGUAAAGCUCUGUUGUUAGGGAAGAAUGGAUAUGUAGUAACUAUACAUGUAAGAGACGGUACCUAACCAGAAAGCCACGGCUAACUACGUG
rnacentral:rRNA from 1 species